rnacentral:lncRNA from 1 species
AAACGAGGAAGAAAAUGUUAUUUUAGAGUUCAUGAUGGCAUAUGAUCUAGUAGUAUUUGAUAACUUUUAAAAGUAGGUAUAAUAUUAGUCAGAUAUAUUUCUUCCUUACUAAAGAUUGUACUGUUAUAUUGGAUGAGAGACUAAUCAGCCAACAUAGAUUGGUCGGUAGAUAUGCAUAUUAAAAAAUAGAAGUGAAGGAUCAAAGAAAGUAUAACCCGAGGACUAGGUGGUUGAAUUUGAGAGGAGAAAAACAAAUGGGUUUAGGGAAUGAAUAUUGAAGGAAGAAAAAUAAGGUCUAGAUAGGCAAAUCAGCUAGUCGAAGAUCCGCG